ACGAAAAAUAACGAUACGGGACUCAUCCGAGGCCCCGUAAUCGGAAUGAGUACACUCUAAACCCUUUAACGAGGAUCAAUUGGAGGGCAAGUCUGGUGCCAGCAGCCGCGGUAAUUCCAGCUCCAAUAGCGUAUAUUAAAGUUGUUGCGGUUAAAAAGCUCGUAGUCGAAUUUGUGUCCCGCGCCGCCGGUUCAUCGCUCGCGGUGUCAACUGGCGUGUCCGCGGGACGUCCUGCCGGUGGGCUCAGCCCCGUACGGGGCGGCCCAAUCUCAAUCCCACCGCGGUGCUCUUCACUGAGUGUCGAGGUGGGCCGGCACGUUUACUUUGAACAAAUUAGAGUGCUUAAAGCAGGCUAAAACUUCGCCUGAAUACUGUGUGCAUGGAAUAAUGGAAUAGGACCUCGGUUCUAUUUUGUUGGUUUUCGGAACCCCGAGGUAAUGAUUAAUAGGAACGGAUGGGGGCAUUCGUAUUGCGACGUUAGAGGUGAAAUUCUUGGAUCGUCGCAAGACGGACAGAAGCGAAAGCAUUUGCCAAAAACGCUUUCAUUGAUCAAGAACGAAAGUUAGAGGUUCGAAGGCGAUCAGAUACCGCCCUAGUUCUAACCAUAAACGAUGCCAGCUAGCGAUCCGCCGACGUUCCUCCGAUGACUCGGCGGGCAGCUUCCGGGAAACCAAAGCUUUUGGGUUCCGGGGGAAGUAUGGUUGCAAAGCUGAAACUUAAAGGAAUUGACGGAAGGGCACCACCAGGAGUGGAGCCUGCGGCUUAAUUUGACUCAACACGGGAAACCUCACCAGGCCCGGACACCGGAAGGAUUGACAGAUUGAGAGC
rnacentral:rRNA from 1 species